rnacentral:rRNA from 1 species
UACGAAGGGGCUAGCGUUGCUCGGAAUCACUGGGCGUAAAGGGUGCGCAGGCGGCGGGGCAAGUCGGACGUGAAAUACUCGGGGCUUAACCCCGAAACUGCGUUCGAUACUUGACCCUGCUUUGAGGACUGGAGAGGAGACGUGAAUUCCUGGUGUAGCAGUGAAAUGCGUAGAUAUCAGGAGGAACGCCAAUGGCGAAGGCAAGUCUCUGGACAGUUCUGACGCUCAUGCACGAAGGCCAGGGGAGGCAAACGGG